rnacentral:rRNA from 1 species
ACUCCUACGGGAGGCAGCAGUGGGGAAUAUUGCACAAUGGGCGCAAGCCUGAUGCAGCAACGCCGCGUGAGCGAUGAAGGCCUUCGGGUCGUAAGCUCUGUCCUCAAGGAAGAAUAAAUGACGGUACUUGAGGAGGAAGCCCGGCUAACUACGUGCCAGCAGCCGCGGUAAUACGUAGGGGGCAAGCGUUUAUCCGGAAUCACUGGGCGUAAAGGGUGCGUAGGCGGUUUUUCAAGUCAGAAGUGAAAGGCUAUGGCUCAACCCAUAGUAAGCUUUUUGAAACUGUUAAACUUGAGUGCAGGAGAGGAAAGUGGAAUUCCUAGUGUAGAGGUG